rnacentral:rRNA from 1 species
AGAGUUUGAUCCUGGCUCAGGAUGAACGCUGGCGGCGUGCCUAACACAUGCAAGUCGAGCGAUCUUCUUCGGAAGAGAGCGGCGGACGGGUGAGUAACGCGUGGGUAACCUGCCCUGUACACACGGAUAACAUACCGAAAGGUAUGCUAAUACGAGAUAAUAUACUUUUAUCGCAUGGUAGAAGUAUCAAAGCUUUUGCGGUACAGGAUGGACCCGCGUCUGAUUAGCUAGUUGGUAAGGUAACGGCUUACCAAGGCGACGAUCAGUAGCCGACCUGAGAGGGUGAUCGGCCACAUUGGAACUGAGACACGGUCCAAACUCCUACGGGAGGCAGCAGUGGGGAAUAUUGCACAAUGGGCGAAAGCCUGAUGCAGCAACGCCGCGUGAGCGAUGAAGGCCUUCGGGUCGUAAAGCUCUGUCCUCAAGGAAGAUAAUGACGGUACUUGAGGAGGAAGCCCCGGCUAACUACGUG